AGCGACUCUCUGGUCUGUACUGACCUGAGGCGCGAAAGCGUGGGGAGCAAACAGGAUUAGAUACCCUGGUAGUCCACGCCGUAAACGAUGAGUGCUAAGUGUUAGAGGGUUUGAGCCCUUUAUGGCUGCAGCAAACGCAUUAAGCACUCCCCCUGGGGAGUACGGUCGCAGGACUGAAACUCAAAGGAAUUGACGGGGGCCCGCACAAGCGGGGGAGCAUGUGGUUUAAUUCGAAGCAACGCGAAAAACCUUACCAGGUCUUGACAUCCUCUGACACCCCUAG
rnacentral:rRNA from 1 species